CGGGGCGUAGCUCAGCCUGGUAGAGCGCUGUGUUCGGGACGCAGAGGCCGUAGGUUCAAAUCCUAUCGCCCCGACCA
rnacentral:tRNA from 1 species